AUGUUUAUUUAUUUUUGACAGAGAGAGAGAGAGAGAGAGAGAGACAGAGCAUGAGCGGGGGAGGGGCAGAGAGAGUGGGAGACACAGAAUCCGAAGCAGGCUCCAGGCUCUGAGCUGUUAGCACAGAGCCCAAGGCGGCGUCGAACUCACAGACCGGGAGAUCAUGACCUGAGCUGAAGUUGGACACUCAACCGACUGAGCCACCCAGGCUCCCCCUACAGUAGUAAUUUAAUAAUUAAGUAGCAAAGACCCAAAUAGGAGAGUGUCAGUGAAAAUGACCAGGGAUGAGGCAAUUUAAGUAGCAUUAUGAGGGAAAACCUGGUAAGUACUGGCUGUUGGGAGAGAUGGGGAAAAGAAAGAAGAAUAAAGCUCGACUGCUAAAAGGCUUUAUCAUAAAGUGUUAGUUAAUAUGCCAACAUUCACUGGAAGACCAGUGAGCAAUCUCAUGAAUUUUGCUCUUUAGCUUUAAAUCAAGGAUAAUUUGUUAACCUAGGGUUUCAUACCUUUAUAAAGGGUUUGGCAUAGCUAAGUUUUGACUCAGUAUUGCUCUCAAGAGUGAACCCAGUAGGAAAGCUGAUGAAGGUGAGAUGAAGGACAUAAAGAGGCUAGGCACCAUCAAAGCCUCAUUGUUGGAGGCGUUCCAUUGUCUUCCUGAUGAUGAACUACUAACUCUCUCACAAAAUAUACUCUGAAGAAAUUCUUUCAGGACCUAUACUGUGAUGGGACCACGCAGGGCACGGAACGUUAUGGUUGCAAAGGAAUUAACAUGGGGAAAAUUGCAGCCAGGUCUCAGUUUCUCCCAGGUUCUCCUGGGAUUCCUCUGUCUAGCUCCGUCUUAGGAGGGGUUAAAAGUGCAUCUUCAAGCCGACCCCAGGCAGAGGCUGAGCCAGAGUCAGCACUGAGUGUCCCAACUCCCACUCCAGGGCUGUCUUCAAUUCCACAAAGGGGGAAAGCUGGCUUUGGUGGGGAGGGGUACACUGUGUAGCUAUUUAAGAAACUCAUAGAGCCUGAGGUGCCUCUCAGCAUAUUUUCACAUCAGCACAAAAGCCCUUAUGGCAGGUGACAAAAUAGGAAAAAUACAGGUCCAUAAGGGAGAAAAAAAAAAAAAAAGGAGUCACACAGCCAAAGAAAUAAGAAGUUGCAGCUAGAAGGAACUUCAGGCCACAGUGCCGUAGGUACGGUGAACACUGAACUUCCUUAGCUCCAAAAAUAUGUUCAUGUCCAGGGACUCUAUAUGUAAAACACUGUGCUAAAUGAUUUUACCCUGUACAUGUCCCUUAAAUAUAAA